CCUACGGGUGGCUGCAGUGGGGAAUAUUGCACAAUGGGGGAAACCCUGAUGCAGCAACGCCGCGUGAGUGAGGAAGUAUUUCGGUAUGUAAAGCUCCAUCUGCAGGGAAUAGAAAAGAAGGAACCUGAAAAAGAAGCCCCGGCUAACUACGUGCCAGGAGCCGAGGUAAUACGUAGGGGGCAAGCGUUAUCCGGAUUUACUGGGUGUAAAGGGAGGGUAGACGGAAAGGCAAGUCAGAAGGGAAAACCCAAGGCACAACCAUGGGACUGCUGUUGAAACUGUCAAACUAGAGUACGGGAGAGGUAAGAGGAAUGCCUGGUGUAGCGGUGAAAUGCGUAGAUAUUAGGAGGAACACCAGUGGCGAAGGCGGCUUACUGGACCGAAACUGACGUUGAGGCUCGAAAGCGUGGGGAGCGAACAGGAUUAGAUACCCCUGUAGUC
rnacentral:rRNA from 1 species